rnacentral:rRNA from 1 species
CUCUGUGCCAGCAGCCGCGGUAAUACAGAGGUCUCAAGCGUUGUUCGGAAUCACUGGGCGUAAAGCGCGCGCAGGUGGUUUCUUAAGUCUGAUGUGAAAGCCUACGGCUUAACCGUAGAAUUGCAUUGGAAACUGGGGGACUUGAGUGCAGAAGAGGAAAGUGGAAUUCCACGUGUAGCGGUGAAAUGCGUAGAGAUGUGGAGGAACACCGGUGGCGAAGGCGACUUUCUGGUCUGCAACUGACACUGAGGCGCGAAAGCGUGGGGAGCAAACA